rnacentral:rRNA from 1 species
AUCAACCUGAACUCAGUCGUGAUUACCCGCUGAACUUAAGCAUAUCAUUUAGCGGAGGAAAAGAAACUAAAAAGGAUUCCCUUAGUAACGGCGAGUGAAACGGGAUGAGCCCAGCGCCGAAUCGAUCAGCCUAUGGUUGCUUCGAAAUGUGGCGUAUAGGUGUAGUCUUCCAGCAGUGUCGUGAGUCCGAAGUCCUUACGAUUGAGGCCAUAGACCAGAGAGGGUGCGAGUCCC